rnacentral:lncRNA from 1 species
CCGCAAAAUAGAAACAUCACUAAUAUAUUAAUACGGCUAAGAGACCGCAGAAGGUUGCAACAGACUGAUCAGUAAAGAUUGAAGCUAUUAGGCGAAAUAAUGAUGUAGACAGUUGAUUCACAAAAGUAGGGCUGUAAUUCGAGUCGAGCCGGGCGAGUUUCGAGCCGAGCCUAAUUCGAGCCAACUUUAAUCGAGCCGAGCCGAGCCGGCUCGAUUAACUAAUCGAGCCUAAAUCUUUGCCCGAACUCAACUCGGUUAAUUUCACGAGUCGAGUCGAGCCGGCUCGUUUAGCUAAACGAGCCGGUUUUAACGAGCCGAGCGAGCCAACUCGUAUAAUUUUACACUUAAUCGAGCCCAAACCUCUACCCGAACUCGGCUCGUUUAAUUUCACGAAUCGAGUCGAGCCGGCUCGUUUAAUUAAACGAGCCGAAACCUUUACCCGAACUCGGCUCGUUUAAUGAGUCGAGCCGAGUCGAGCCCACUUAAACGAGUUCGAGCCGGGCGAGCUCGCGAGCCGCCCGACUCGAAUUACAGCUCUACACAAAAUCAAGGAGUAGUAUCUAGUGAAACAACCUAUAGCACUAAAUAACAAUAGAUAAAAAAGACGUGUAGUUAAAUAUUUCUAUGAAACUUUACCUUUCAGGUUCAGGACUGUAACCUAUAACAUACUCG